GCGAACGCUGGCGGCAGGCCUAACACAUGCAAGUCGAACGGAUCCUUCGGGAUUAGUGGCGGACGGGUGAGUAACACGUGGGAACGUGCCUUUUGGUUCGGAACAACUCAGGGAAACUUGAGCUAAUACCGAAUGUGCCCUUCGGGGGAAAGAUUUAUCGCCAUUAGAGCGGCCCGCGUCUGAUUAGCUAGUUGGUGGGGUAAAGGCUCACCAAGGCUACGAUCAGUAGCUGGUCUGAGAGGAUGAUCAGCCACAUUGGGACUGAGACACGGCCCAAACUCCUACGGGAGGCAGCAGUGGGGAAUCUUGCGCA
rnacentral:rRNA from 1 species